rnacentral:lncRNA from 1 species
CGGGGGGCAUGCUGUCGGCGGGCGAACUAGGACAUGGUGCUUAGGGGCUCAGGGCGCAAUGACGAUGGCACACCGGCUUCUUUUGCGGUGGUGGCGCCCCUCCCUCACCGGCCAUGGAUCUGACGGUGUUUCCUCUCCUCCCCCCCUCUCCUCCGACAGCGGCGCGUGCAAGGUGUCUAGAUCCGGCAACGAGGAGCACAUGGAGCUCAGGGAGGCAGAGUGCCUCCAACACCGCCUGAUCCGGCAAGGAGGGCACUGGAUCUGGUGAGGAGGAGCCGCAUCCGAUGGGGAGGGCUCGUGUGGCCGCGAUGGCGGUGCGUAGGGGUGCUGGCGGUGCCGUGAAGCACAGACCAAGCCCAGUUUGGUUUCGAGCUUUUUUCUUUUUUUUUUAUUUUCAUUAACCGUGGUGGGCAACUAAUCCGCCUCGGUAAAAUAGUGAUUUACCGUGACCUUAUCUUCGAGGCAGAUGGGUUGCCCGCCUCGGUAAACCUUUUUUGCCCAUAUUGCAAAAAGUUUAAUGUAGUAGUGAGGGUUGUGGCAAGAGUUGGUGAUUGUUCUUGAUCACCUCUUGGUGAUUGUGAGGGGUUCUUGUGCUUUUCUCGGUAGAGCACCAAAGUCUAGUGCAUUGCAUGUGUCAUUGAGCUAUCUCACUUGUGGGUAGGUUCUUAUGGUGUCCCACAUGAGGACAAGCUUCAUGCUAUACCUCUUAGCCGUAGAACCACCAAGUAUUGGUCGACACAAUGGGGACUAGCAUGUCGGUAAGCACAUGAACCUUAGGAGAAAAAUAUUGUGUCUCUUUCCAUCUUUGGUAUUCUUCUGGUGAUUGUAUUAGCUACUUAUUGGUUGGUUCAUUUCCUCGAUACGGUGGUAUAUCGAUCACUCCUCUCCUUUAUGUAUCGCAAACUAGUGUAGCUUACUUCCUUGUGUAGAUACUUUAGAUAGCUCACUAGUGUAAGUAGUGACUUAGCAAGUGUGUGCUUAGUGAUCAUAGCAACUAGAAUUGCUUGGAUAGGUGGUUUGCAACCCCCUUGGUAGAGCUAGAGCAAAAGACUUCACUUAGUGUUUAUCUAACUUGUGCUCUAGUGUUUUCUAGAUUUUAAAUUAGGCUAUUGUUGGCAUCUCUAACGUCAGCUUAGUUACUAGGUUGUCAUCCCUAGCAGCGAUGCUAUAAAUGCGUGAGGUUGGUAUUUAAUAAACUAAACUCUUGAUAUGAUAAAUAAUAUAAAGGUAAUCCACAAGCACACAGAUCAAAUACCAUUGUAGCACUUCAUCGGAAGUAUUCCAGGUAUCGUUAUUUAUAAUUUAACUCAGAGAGGAGCUAAGGAGGAGGCUCAAAGAUGGAUUUGUCAAAUAUGAUUACUAAUGAGGAAACCAAUCACAUAGUCACUUGCUAAGGCAGGGGUGAGCCAAUAAUCUAAAGAUAAUAAUGAUAAGGAUAAUAAUGAUAACCUAG